rnacentral:piRNA from 1 species
UAGGGAAGUCUAUUUGGGUGUUUUCAGG